UUCCGGUUGAUCCCGCCAGAGGUCAUUGCUAUCGGAGUUCGAUUUAGCCAUGCUAGUUGUGCGAGCUUAGACUCGCAGCAGAUAGCUCAGUAACACGUGGCCAAGCUACCCUGUGGAGAGGAAUAAUCUCGGGAAACUGAGGCUAAUUCCUCAUAAGACUCCACUUCUGGAAGGAAUGGAGUUGGAAACGCUCCGGCGCCACAGGAUGCGGCUGCGGUCGAUUAGGUAGACGGUGGGGUAACGGCCCACCGUGCCUAUAAUCGGUACGGGUUGUGAGAGCAAGAGCCCGGAGACGGAAUCUGAGACAAGAUUCCGGGCCCUACGGGGCGCAGCAGGCGCGAAACCUUUACACUGCACGACAGUGCGAUAAGGGAACUCCGAGUGCGAGGGCAUAGAGCCCUCGCUUUUGUGAACCGUAAGGUGGUUCACGAAUAAGGGCUGGGCAAGACCGGUGCCAGCCGCCGCGGUAAUACCGGCAGCCCAAGUGAUGACCGAUAUUAUUGGGCCUAAAGCGUCCGUAGCUGGCCGCGCAAGUCCGUUGGGAAAUCUGCUCGCUUAACGAGCAGGCGUCCAGCGGAAACUGUGUGGCUUGGGACCGGAAGACCUGAGGGGUACGUCUGGGGUAGGAGUGAAAUCCUGUAAUCCUGGACGGACCACCGGUGGCGAAAGCGCCUCAGGAGGACGGAUCCGACAGUGAGGGACGAAAGCUAGGGUCUCGAACCGGAUUAGAUACCCGGGUAGUCCUAGCUGUAAACGAUGCCCGCUAGGUGUGGCGCAGGCUACGAGCCUGCGCUGUGCCGUAGGGAAGCCGAGAAGCGGGCCGCCUGGGAAGUACGUCUGCAAGGAUGAAACUUAAAGGAAUUGGCGGGGGGGCACCACAACCGGAGGAGCCUGCGGUUUAAUUGGACUCAACGCCGGG
rnacentral:rRNA from 1 species